rnacentral:rRNA from 1 species
UACGUAGGGAGCAAGCGUUGUCCGGAAUCAUUGGGCGUAAAGCGCGCGUAGGCGGCCCCGUAAGUCCGCUGUGAAAGUCAAAGGCUCAACCUUUGAAAGCCGGUGGAUACUGUGGGGCUAGAGUACGGAAGAGGCGAGUGGAAUUCCUGGUGUAGCGGUGGAAUGCGCAGAUAUCAGGAGGAACACCGGUGGCGAAGGCGGUCUGCUGGGGUCGAACUGACGCUGAUGCGCGACAGCGUGGGGAGCAAACAGG